rnacentral:snoRNA from 1 species
AGGUGAUUUCAAAAAGGACUUGUGGGCUCUGACUCCAGGCACUCAAUACUUUGAAGGGCUUCAUAUUAGCUAUAGUCACUCAAUUGUGCUAUGCUUUCCUGAGGAGAUGUAAGG